AGAACGAACGCUGGCGGCAUGCCUAAUACAUGCAAGUCGAACGAACACUUCGGUGUUAGUGGCGCACGGGUGCGUAACGCGUGGGAAUCUGCCCUUGGGUUCGGAAUAACAGUUGGAAACGACUGCUAAUACCGGAUGAUAUCGAAAGAUCAAAGAUUUAUCGCCCAGGGAUGAGCCCGCGUAGGAUUAGCUAGUUGGUGAGGUAAAGGCUCACCAAGGCGACGAUCCUUAGCUGGUCUGAGAGGAUGAUCAAGCCACACUGGGACUGAGACACGGCCCAGACUCCGUACGGGAGCAGCAGUAGGGAAUAUGGACAAGUGGGCGCAAGCUAGAUCCAGCAAUGCCGCGUGAGUGAGUGAAGGUCCUUAGGGUGUAAAGUCUUCUUUACCGAUAUAGAUAAG
rnacentral:rRNA from 1 species